AGCGAACGCUGGCGGCAUGCCUAACACAUGCAAGUCGAACGAGACCUUCGGGUCUAGUGGCGCACGGGUGCGUAACGCGUGGGAACCUGCCCUUAGGUUCGGAAUAACUCCCCGAAAGGGGUGCUAAUACCGGAUAAUGUCUUCGGACCAAAGAUUUAUCGCCUUUGGAUGGGCCCGCGUUGGAUUAGCUAGUUGGUAGGGUAAAAGCCUACCAAGGCGACGAUCCAUAGCUGGUCUGAGAGGAUGAUCAGCCACACUGGGACUGAGACACGGCCCAGACUCCUACGGGAGGCAGCAGUGGGGAAUAUUGGACAAUGGGCGAAAGCCUGAUCCAGCAAUGCCGCGUGAGUGAUGAAGGCCUUAGGGUUGUAAAGCUCUUUUACCCGGGAUGAUAAUGACAGUACCGGGAGAAUAAGCUCCGGCUAACUCCGUA
rnacentral:rRNA from 1 species